rnacentral:rRNA from 1 species
CGGCAACAGCUCAAAUUUGAAAUCUGGCCCCCUCGGGGCCCGAGUUGUAAUUUGGAGAAGAUGCUUUGGGGGUGGCCCCGGUCCAAGUUCCUUGGAACAGGACGUCACAGAGGGUGAGAAUCCCGUAGGUGGCCGGCGGCCGUGCCCGUGUAAAGCUCUUUCGAC